rnacentral:rRNA from 1 species
UACGGAGGGGGUUAGCGUUGUUCGGAAUGACUGGGCGUAAAGCGCGCGUAGGCGGAUCAGGAAGUUGGGGGGUGAAAUCCCGGGGCUCAACCCCGGAAUGGCCUUCAAAAACUCCUGGUCUUUGAGUUCGAGAGAGGUGAGUGGAAUUCCGAGUGUAGAGGUGAAAUUCGUAGAUAUUCGGAGGAACACCAGUGGCGAAGGCGGCUCACUGGCUCGACACUGACGCUGAGGUGCGAAAGCGUGGGGAGCAAACAGG